GGAUUUAUUGGGCGUAAGCGAGCGCAGGCGGUUUUUUAAGUCUGAUGUGAAAGCCUUCGGCUCAACCGAAGAAGUGCAUCGGAAACUGGGAAACUUGAGUGCAGAAGAGGACAGUGGAACUCCAUGUGUAGCGGUGAAAUGCGUAGAUAUAUGGAAGAACACCAGUGGCGAAGGCGGCUGUCUGGUCUGUAACUGACGCUGAGGCUCGAAAGUAUGGGUAGCAAACAGGAUUAGAUACCCUGGUAGUCCAUACCGUAAACGAUGAAUGCUAAGUGUUGGAGGGUUUCCGCCCUUCAGUGCUGCAGCUAACGCAUUAAGCAUUCCGCCUGGGGAGUACGGCCGCAAGGCUGAAACUCAAAGGAAUUGACGGGGGCCCGCACAAGCGGUGGAGCAUGUGGUUUAAUUCGAAGCUACGCGAAGAACCUUACCAGGUCUUGACAUACUAUGCAAAUCUAAGAGAUUAGACGUUCCCUUCGGGGACAUGGAUACAGGUGGUGCAUGGUUGUCGUCAGCUCGUGUCGUGAGAUGUUGGGUUAAGUCCCGCAACGAGCGCAACCCUUAUUAUCAGUUGCCAGCAUUAAGUUGGGCACUCUGGUGAGACUGCCGGUGACAAACCGGAGGAAGGUGGGGAUGACGUCAAAUCAUCAUGCCCCUUAUGACCUGGGCUACACACGUGCUACAAUGGAUGGUACAACGAGUUGCGAACUCGCGAGAGUAAGCUAAUCUCUUAAAGCCAUUCUCAGUUCGGAUUGUAGGCUGCAACUCGCCUACAUGAAGUCGGAAUCGCUAGUAAUCGCGGAUCAGCAUGCCGCGGUGAAUAC
rnacentral:rRNA from 2 species